rnacentral:lncRNA from 1 species
AGAAAUUCUCAUCACAAGCAAUUUCACACACUUUCUACAUAUUUCUACGCAAUUAAGCUAAAAAAAAUCCGAUACCAAACCACCAAUUGUGAGACACACAACCUACCCACAACAAAAAUUGGUUGGGAAACGCAUGACGUGACAAAAACUUAGUGACCAAGGCUGAUAAAAAUAGUAGCAAACCAAGAUUCCAUGAGGAACAGAGAUUAUACCUUUAGGUUCCAUUUUCCCAACCAUUCCAAGGGUGGAGUCACCAGAAGCUCGUUUCUCCUUCAAGAACUGGCUCAAGAGGCUGCAAGUCUGAGAAAAAGAGGAUUUUUCCGGUGCCUUGCCGGACCUCCGGGCUUCCGACACGGUGUUGGAGAAACUUGACAUUUUGAAGAGAUGCCCAC